rnacentral:lncRNA from 1 species
UGUCAAUCCAUCAUGACUUCAUCCAGAGAAUGCCAGACUUUGAUGACAAAGUAAUUGAGAAGUUUAAUCACAAGAAGGACUGCCGUGCCAACUUCCUGCUCAAGUGAGCACAGCACAGCAAUGUAAAGAGAAGAGAAGAUGAGCAGAAUUUGAAUGGAGAAGUGAAAGUGUGGAUGGUGAGGACUACAGCCUGGGACAAGGACAGGUUGAAGAUGUCCGAGAAGAUGCCCACCAGCUGGUCAGCACACACUCUGAGGACGUGGCCAGGGAUGCCAUCUGGGCCGGUGGCUUUGCCGGUGGUAGCUGGUCCAGUGUAGGACGUUGAGGUGCGGGAGGUCCCUCCGCCCCCCCUGAACAUCGGGGGUGCCCCGGCGUACACAGUCCGUUCCAUCUUGGACUCCAGGC